AUGAAGUGCUGUAAUUUUUGUGAGCUAUGAUCAUUCGUAGUUUCCACCAGAAACUUGUUAGAUGUGUGUUGGCAACACUUCCUUGGAUGGCUGACUGA
rnacentral:snoRNA from 1 species